GUGCUUUUGGAAUGAAUAAGUCCCUUAUAUUUAUUCACCUGAUCACUUUGUCAGCUUUGUUUUUUCAAUAUAUUGCUGAUCAUUAUAGGGUGGAAUAUAU
rfam:Lupinus angustifolius cultivar Tanjil contig_13752, whole genome shotgun sequence.